UCCAAUCCAGUGUGUCCAGGCCUCGCCACU
rnacentral:piRNA from 1 species